GUGCUCGCUUCAUCAGAACAUAUACUAAAAAACUGGACCGGCACGGUGAAGACUAGCAUGGCCCCUAUGCAAGGAUGACAUGCAAACUGAUAAAGUAUUCCAUUAAAAA
ensembl:snRNA U6 U6 spliceosomal RNA